rnacentral:rRNA from 1 species
CCUACGGGAUGCUGCAGUGGGGAAUAUUGGACAAUGGGCGAAAGCCUGAUCCAGCCAUGCCGCGUGUGUGAAGAAGGCCUUCGGGUUGUAAAGCACUUUCAGUGGGGAAGAAAGCCUUGGGGCUAAUACCCUCGAGGAAGGACAUCACCCACAGAAGAAGCACCGGCUAACUCCGUGCCAGCAGCCGCGGUAAUACGGAGGGUGCGAGCGUUAAUCGGAAUUACUGGGCGUAAAGCGCGCGUAGGCGGUCUGAUAAGCCGGUUGUGAAAGCCCCGGGCUCAACCUGGGAACGGCAUCCGGAACGGUCAGGCUAGAGUGCAGGAGAGGAAGGUAGAAUUCCCGGUGUAGCGGUGAAAUGCGUAGAGAUCGGGAGGAAUACCAGUGGCGAAGGCGGCCUUCUGGACUGACACUGACGCUGAGGUGCGAAAGCGUGGGUAGCAAACAGGAGUAGAUACCCCUGUAGUC